GCCGUGGUGGAGAGACACGUGAGUUGCGUCCACCGUGCAGUACAGUGCCUCCAGUCUUGGGGGUUUGAUUGCUGCCGCACCCUCUCAGGGAUCAACUGCCUGAUUUUAAGCGAAGAGUUGAGACGCCUGCCUAGCUGCUGUCUUGUCUUGCCUUGUUUUAUCUUGUGUUCCGAUCUGUUGGCUGUCCAAUUUUGUUCCUGCUGCUUGUCUCGCCUCGCCCCUGGGGGCUUUGGGUCUCACGCUAAGCCCCUUUUGGACUAUCGUUUCACUCCAGCUUUCGCGGCUGGUCGGGGCGAUCCUCAGCUGCAUAUUGGGCUGGUGUUA